rnacentral:rRNA from 1 species
GAGAGAGACAUGCGCGCAUAUCAAUAAGCGGAGGAAAAGAAACUAACAAGGAUUCCCCUAGUAACGGCGAGUGAAGCGGGAAGAGCUCAAAUUUGAAAUCUUAAAGGGUUUCCCUUUACGAAUUGUAGUUUAAAGAAGUGUUUUCUGUUGAGGUUUUGGUAAAAGUUCUUUGGAAUAGGACAUCAUAGAGGGUGAGAAUCCCGUAUUUGACCUUUACUUUCAACUUUGUGAUACACUUUCAAAGAGUCGGAUUGUUUGGGAAUGCAGUCCAAAAUGGGUGGUAAAUUUCAUCUAAAGCUAAAUAUUGGCGAGAGACCGAUAGCGAACAAGUACCGUGAGGGAAAGAUGAAAAGAACUUUGAAAAGAGAGUUAAACAGUACGUGAAAUUGUCAAAAGGGAAGCGUUUGACACCAGUGUUGUUUUUCUGAAAAUCAAUUAAAGAACUGUUUAUGCUAAGUUGUUUAGACUUUAUCAGCUAACUGUUUAGUUUUGAGCUUUUCUUUAAUGCACUUUUCAGUUAACAAGUCAACAUCAAUUUCUUUUGCUGUAAAAAAGCUUGAGGAAGGUGGCUUGAGAUUCGUCUUAAGUGUUUAUAGCCUCUUGCCUAUGCAGUCGGAGAGAUUGAGGUCUGCAGCGUAGAUCCUUCGGGGCUAAAUGCAUUUGUGCUAAGUUAUAGCAUUUUAUAGACAACUUGUUGACUAUGAUUUGUCUUGUAGCUUACUCGCUUAUGUUAUUUUACCUACGCUUAGGAUAUUGAGCGCAUGUCUCUCUCU